GGGUGAGUAACAUAUCGGAACGUACCCUAUCGUGGGGGAUAACGAAUCGAAAGAUUCGCUAAUACCGCAUACGACCUGAGGGUGAAAGCGGGGGAUCGCAAGACCUCGCGCGACAGGAGCGGCCGAUAUCGGAUUAGCUAGUUGGUGAGGUAAAGGCUCACCAAGGCGACGAUCCGUAGCUGGUCUGAGAGGACGACCAGCCACACUGGGACUGAGACACGGCCCAGACUCCUACGGGAGGCAGCAGUGGGGAAUUUUGGACAAUGGGGGAAACCCUGAUCCAGCCAUUCCGCGUGAGUGAAGAAGGCCUUCGGGUUGUAAAGCUCUUUCGGCAGGAACGAAAAGGUGCGGGCUAAUACCCUGUAUCAAUGACGGUACCUGAAGAAGAAGCACCGGCUAACUACGUGCCAGCAGCCGCGGUAAUACGUAGGGUGCGAGCGUUAAUCGGAAUUACUGGGCGUAAAGCGUGCGCAGGCGGUUUUGUAAGACAGAUGUGAAAUCCCCGGGCUUAACCUGGGAACUGCGUUUGUGACUGCAAGACUUGAGUGCGGCAGAGGGGGGUGGAAUUCCACGUGUAGCAGUGAAAUGCGUAGAGAUGUGGAGGAACACCGAUGGCGAAGGCAGCCCCCUGGGUCGACACUGACGCUCAUGCACGAAAGCGUGGGUAGCAAACAGGAUUAGAUACCCUGGUAGUCCACGCCCUAAACGAUGCCAACUAGGUGUUGGGGAAGGAGACUUCCUUAGUACCGUAGCUAACGCGUGAAGUUGGCCGCCUGGGGAGUACGGUCGCAAGAUUAAAACUCAAAGGAAUUGACGGGGACCCGCACAAGCGGUGGAUGAUGUGGAUUAAUUCGAUGCAACGCGAAAAACCUUACCUACCCUUGACAUGCCAGGAAUCCCGGAGAGAUUUGGGAGUGCUCGAAAGAGAGCCUGGACACAGGUGCUGCAUGGCUGUCGUCAGCUCGUGUCGUGAGAUGUUGGGUUAAGUCCCGCAACGAGCGCAACCCUUGUCAUUAGUUGCCAUCAUUUAGUUGGGCACUCUAAUGAGACUGCCGGUGACAAACCGGAGGAAGGUGGGGAUGACGUCAAGUCCUCAUGCCCCCCAUGGGUAGGGCUUCACACGUCAUACAAUGGUCGGUACAGAGGGUUGCCAAGCCGCGAGGUGGAGCCAAUCCCAGAAAGCCGAUCGUAGUCCGGGUUGGGGUCUGCAACUCGACUCCGUGAAGU
rnacentral:rRNA from 1 species